GGUUAAGCGACUAAGCGUACACGGUGGAUGCCUUGGCAGUCAGAGGCGAUGAAGGACGUGCUAAUCUGCGAUAAGCGUCGGUAAGGUGAUAUGAACCGUUAUAACCGGCGAUUUCCGAAUGGGGAAACCCAGUGUGAUUCGUCACACUAUCAUUAACUGAAUCCAUAGGUUAAUGAGGCGAACCGGGGGAACUGAAACAUCUAAGUACCCCGAGGAAAAGAAAUCAACCGAGAUUCCCCCAGUAGCGGCGAGCGAACGGGGAGCAGCCCAGAGCCUGAAUCAGUAUGUGUGUUAGUGGAAGCGUCUGGAAAGGCGCGCGAUACAGGGUGACAGCCCCGUACACAAAAAUGCACAUGCUGUGAGCUCGAUGAGUAGGGCGGGACACGUGGUAUCCUGUCUGAAUAUGGGGGGACCAUCCUCCAAGGCUAAAUACUCCUGACUGACCGAUAGUGAACCAGUACCGUGAGGGAAAGGCGAAAAGAACCCCGGCGAGGGGAGUGAAAAAGAACCUGAAACCGUGUACGUACAAGCAGUGGGAGCACGCUUAGGCGUGUGACUGCGUACCUUUUGUAUAAUGGGUCAGCGACUUAUAUUCUGUAGCAAGGUUAACCGAAUAGGGGAGCCGAAGGGAAACCGAGUCUUAACUGGGCGUUAAGUUGCAGGGUAUAGACCCGAAACCCGGUGAUCUAGCCAUGGGCAGGUUGAAGGUUGGGUAACACUAACUGGAGGACCGAACCGACUAAUGUUGAAAAAUUAGCGGAUGACUUGUGGCUGGGGGUGAAAGGCCAAUCAAACCGGGAGAUAGCUGGUUCUCCCCGAAAGCUAUUUAGGUAGCGCCUCGUGAAUUCAUCUCCGGGGGUAG
rnacentral:rRNA from 1 species